CGCGAUUUGAAUCAGUGCGUUUUUUUUUUUGUUCCUUAAUCUUCCUUGAUUUCUUGAAUUUUCUCGGUUUAUUUUAUUUUUAUGUUGUUUAUGGCGAUUUACUGAUUCGUGAGUAAAGAUUGCUCGACUGAUUACUGGGUUUGAUGAUUUUACUUUCUUUAUAUUUGGGUAUAUUUGUAGUUAGUAUUGGUCAGAAUUUUGAUUUUUCAUGGGUUUCUUGCUGCGAUAUUGUCUUUUGUUGAUUUGUUAGAUGGUUUUCUCGUCUUGCCCACAGAUUGUCUGUUGUCGAUUUAUCAG
rnacentral:misc_RNA from 1 species